UACGUAGGGACCAAGCGUUGUUCGGAUUUACUGGGCGUAAAGGGCGCGUAGGCGGCCACCGCAAGUCGACUGUGAAAUCUCCGGGCUUAACCCGAAAGGUCAGCCGAUACUGCGGGGCUAGAGUGCAGAAGGGGCAACUGGAAUUCUCGGUGUAGCGGUGAAAUGCGUAGAUAUCGAGAGGAACACCUGCGGCGAAGGCGGGUUGCUGGGCUGACACUGACGCUGAGGCGCGAAAGCUAGGGGAGCGAACGGG
rnacentral:rRNA from 1 species